rnacentral:lncRNA from 1 species
CUAAAAAAAAAGACACAAAAAAUAUAACGCCUAGGGGAUGCCACCAAACGAUCACUCCAACGUCCCCGGCCAGUAGCACCAUUGGACAGACCAUUGUUGAACUCUUCGAUGUCGUCCAGCCAACACCAACCACUGUUUCUUCGCUAGAAAUCACCAGACCCUGCGCCAGACCUCACGCCACCACCCAACGACCACCCCUGAACUUCAUCUCCUUCACCUUCUAACAACCAUAAACCAUCACAAUUUUAACCCAAAUCAGCUGAUUCAGCUUUAUCAUUUUGGUUUAGCUCGAGUUGUCCGAUGAGUUACGAGUGCGAUUUCGAGUUGAGAAAAACAGAAUAAGAUUUUGAGGUUAAAAUUCUGCUUCUUCUCACUACAAAAAUUGUUUGGGAUUUGGGUUGUUGUAGUUGAUUUGACUGUCUGUUUCCGAGUUUUGAGGUCUGGAUUUAAGUCCAUUCAGGGUCCGUUCAAUGUUGUUCGAGAUUCCAGCUUGGUCUCCAGUCAGGUCUGUACACGUUCAGCUUCUGUGACCUUCUCCAGGAUUGAUUCCGGUGUUAUUAUCUUGCAAUUGGGUAUGUGAUACUUUCUUGAUUGUUAUCAGACAUAUAGAUGAAGAUCUACUAUAUAUAUGCCUAAAUCUUCUAUACCUACUUUGUUUUCUUAGAUUUUAGCUAAUGAAUUCAAACCAUGUUGCGUUGGUUCCUUCUAAGUGUUCACUGUUAAUACAUAUUUGGCUUAUUUGAGCAUAUGUCAUUGAGGUGUUAAUUCUCACUAAAUUUGUUUUGUUAUCCAGCUCAUUUUAUGUGAAUAUUCAUGAAUAGCAGUUGAUGUUCAUAGGCUGAUGGAUUUUGAUAAGCUGAAGAAGAGUAUGUUAUGUUCUUAAUUGAAAGCAGGCAUCGUUGUGCUUGAAUAAAAUGAUCACUGUAUGUAGUUUGUUGUAUAUAGUUUCAUCAACACACUAAUUUAUUUUACUGCAUCUAUCAUGUCACUACUUCCAUUGUUAGUUUAUUUUUCCAUGAAUUUUUUUUCUUCCAAGCGCAAAGUCUUUCUAAAUGAAUUUUGUCAUAUUUUGCCAAUGC